CCUACGGGUGGCUGCAGUGAGGAAUAUUGGUCAAUGGGCGCGAGCCUGAACCAGCCAAGUAGCGUGAAGGAUGACUGUUCUAUGGGUCGUAAACCUCUUUUAUAAGGGAAUAAAGUGUGGGACGUGUCCUUUUUUGUAUGUACCUUAUGAAUAAGGAUCGGCUAACUCCGUGCCAGCAGCCGCGGUAAUACGGAGGAUCCGAGCGUUAUCCGGAUUUAUUGGGUUUAAAGGGUGCGUAGACGGCCUUUUAAGUCAGCGGUGAAAGUCUGUGGCUCAACCAUAAAAUUGCAGUUGAAACUGGGGGGCUUGAGUAUGUUUGAGGCAGGCGGAAUGCGUGGUGUAGCGGUGAAAUGCUUAGAUAUCACGCAGAACCCCGAUUGCGAAGGCAGCCUGCCAAGCUAUGACUGACGCUGAUGCACGAAAGCGUGGGGAUCAAACAGGAUUAGAUACCCUAGUAGUC
rnacentral:rRNA from 1 species